rnacentral:rRNA from 1 species
AUUGAACGCUGGCGGCAGGCCUAACACAUGCAAGUAGAACGAGUGGCGGACGGGUGAGUAAUGUCUGGGAAACUGGCUGAUGGAGGGAGAUAACUACUGUACACGGUAGCUAAUACCGCAUACCAUCGGAUGUGCCCAGAUGGGAUAAGCUAGUAGGUGGGGUAACGGCUGACCUAGGCGACGAUCCCUAGCUGGUCUGCGAGGACUACCAGCAACACUGGAACUGAGACAAGGUACAUACUCCUACGGGAGGCAGCAGUGGGGAAUAUUGCACAAUGGGCGCAAGCCUGAUGCAGCAAUGCCGCGUGUAUGAAGAAGGCCUUCGGGUUGUAAAGUACUUUCAGCGGGGAGGCGUUACCCGCAGAAGAAGCACCGGCGAACUCCGUGCCAGCCGCCGCGGUAAUAC